rnacentral:rRNA from 1 species
UGUUUCGGCUAGGGGGCCAUCCCGGCUUACCAACCCGAUGCAAACUGCGAAUACCGGAGAAUGUUAUCACGGGAGACACACGGCGGGUGCUAACGUCCGUCGUGAAGAGGGAAACAACCCAGACCGCCAGCUAAGGUCCCAAAGUCAUGGUUAAGUGGGAAACGAUGUGGGAAGGCCCAGACAGCCAGGAUGUUGGCUUAGAAGCAGCCAUCAUUUAAAGAAAGCGUAAUAGCUCACUGGUCGAGUCGGCCUGCGCGGAAGAUGUAACGGGGCUAAACCAUGCACCGAAGCUGCGGCAGCGACACUGUGUGUUGUUGGG